AAUGAACGCUGGCGGCGUGCCUAAUACAUGCAAGUCGAGCGAAUGGAUUAAGAGCUUGCUCUUAUGAAGUUAGCGGCGGACGGGUGAGUAACACGUGGGUAACCUGCCCAUAAGACUGGGAUAACUCCGGGAAACCGGGGCUAAUACCGGAUAACAUUUUGAACCGCAUGGUUCGAAAUUGAAAGGCGGCUUCGGCUGUCACUUAUGGAUGGACCCGCGUCGCAUUAGCUAGUUGGUGAGGUAACGGCUCACCAAGGCAACGAUGCGUAGCCGACCUGAGAGGGUGAUCGGCCACACUGGGACUGAGACACGGCCCAGACUCCUACGGGAGGAAGCAGUAGGGAAUCUUCCGCAAUGGACGAAAGUCUGACGGAGCAACGCCGCGUGAGUGAUGAAGGCUUUCGGGUCGUAAAACUCUGUUGUUAGGGAAGAACAAGUGCUAGUCGAAUAAGCUGCACCUUGACGGUACCUAACCAGAAAGCCACGGCUAACUACGUGCCAGCCGCCGCUGUAA
rnacentral:rRNA from 1 species